rnacentral:sRNA from 24 species
ACACAAGGAAGGAGGUGGUCCGCGAAAUUGAUAGCUUCAUGGACAUGUGAGGUGGCUGCGCGCUAGCUGCGCCGGCUUUCGAAGAGCCGGCGUUAUUUGUGCGCUGGCGAAUUCCCCGUAGUCACCCGGCCCCCGAGCUUCCGGUUUUUGUCCGACCAGGAACACGGCUCGGGGGCCGCUCCAU